AGGGGACACACUUGCAGGCUCCAGCCUGGGAGCUGCUGAAGCCACAGCAGAAAGUAACCUGAUUCUGACCCUCAGCUCUGAUUCCUGACUGGCUGUGACCCUUGACUCUGGCCCUGGCUAAGGACUCCUGCUCUGACCACCAGGUGUAUAAAACUACUAUGUCUCACAAUUCCCAUUGCUUCAGAAGCCUUUAAGAGCACACUGCAUGAUAAUCAUGGUCCUUGAGGAUAUAAUGAUGUGGGUCUCCAAGGGUCAGAGAAGGAAGCUGCUUGAGAAGGUUAGUGGUCAGCUGGGGCAGUUUACUGCCUGCCUCUUCAAAAUGAUGAUCCUUGAAGGCCUUACAGAAUGGCAUGGGAAAGUGUCCUAUUAUGGCAGGAGAAAUAAGACAAUUCUGAUCAGAAACAUCCAGGCAAAGAUUAAAUACUACUUGCUAGAAAAGUUCUGUGAAUUUUUAGCAGCAAACUCCAAAGCUGUGUGUGUUAAGAUCAAUGGCCUUUGCAAGCAGUAAGGAGUCUUGGUACUCACCAGUUAACAUAUGUCAGAAGUUUCACUGUUUCUCCCUCUUUCCUGAAUUCAGUGCAUGCAAGUGUAGACUAAAAGUCAUUCUAGAUCCUUUUAUUUACCCCCCAUAAUAUUGCAUUUUAUUAGUUCUAGUUGUUCCAAUGAUGUUGCAUUUUGUUUGUUUGGAUGGUUUGAAGCAAGCAUGUUCUGUAAAAUUAUGUACCGACGAAGCUCACUCAGUUUCACGGUAGCUAAGAAGUGCUUUUGCAUUGCAUAGUGCUUUAAAAAGCAUUGCAAGUGCUUUUAUUUUGUUACUAUGACACUACACAAUAUUGCAUUUUAUUGGUUCAAAGAAAUCUUAUUCUGUAAGACGAUGUAUUUAGAGUGCUCACUCACUGGAUUCAUUGUCGUUUAAAAGCAAUACUUUGUAUGUUUUGUCUUUGCUGCAAAAUUUGUGUUCCUAUUUUUGUAUUCCUAUCUUGGCCUAUUGCCUGCUAAUUUAAUUUCAUGCUCUUAA